rnacentral:rRNA from 1 species
GACGAACGCUGGCGGCGUGCUUAACACAUGCAAGUCGAACGGAAAGGCCCUGCUUUUGUGGGGUGCUCGAGUGGCGAACGGGUGAGUAGCACGUGAGUAACCUGCCCUUGACUUUGGGAUAACUUCAGGAAACUGGGGCUAAUACCGGAUAGGAGCUCCUGCUGCAUGGUGGGGGUUGGAAAGUUUCGGCGGUUGGGGAUGGACUCGCGGCUUAUCAGCUUGUUGGUGGGGUAGUGGCUUACCAAGGCUUUGACGGGUAGCCGGCCUGAGAGGGUGACCGGCCACAUUGGGACUGAGAUACGGCCCAGACUCCUACGGGAGGCAGCAGUGGGGAAUAUUGCACAAUGGGCGGAGGCCUGAUGCAGCAACGCCGCGUGCGGGAUGACGGCCUUCGGGUUGUAAACCGCUUUCGCCUGUGACGAAGCGUGAGUGACGGUAAUGGGUAAAGAAGCACCGGCUAACUACGUG